rnacentral:lncRNA from 1 species
AGACAAUUAGUGCCCACCUGUGAAGUUCUGGGCACCUGACAAAGGCGAGCUCAGCUACAGGCUUCUGCCUCUCAGCAAGGUUCUAUUUUACUUUCGGCCUCCAGGCCGAUGCUUGGCACUGCACUUUGAGUGUGGGGAAGAUGGCUGGACCACAAUGCCCUUGGCAUGUAUCAGUGGCAUUUACGUGCUUCGCUUACCCCUUCUGACAGUCCUGAGAGGCACGCUUUACACCCACCCAUCCUUUACAGAUGAGCCAUGAGAGGAGUUUAGCAAGGAGGAAUUCCUUCACAGCUUGAGGACUCCACACUGCUGCCGGCCUGGGAUUCUAUGUUGCAUAGCUGUAGAUGCUGUUGGUCCUCUGGGAACGGUAAAGCUCCAAGAACUGGUGCCACGGGUUUGUUUGUAAGGAAAUCCUGAAGACUGACGUGUAGCUCUCCAUCUUUGAACUUAUAAUCCCGCUUGUGGCUUCAGAGUUCUGGGAUCACUCCUGUGGAUCACAUUAACCCAAGACAACACCCACC